rnacentral:lncRNA from 10 species
GUGAAGACGGAUGGAGCGCGAUGGAGAGCCGGGUGAGCGAUGAGCUCAUUAGGGAGGUCAGGUGGGGACAGCCCGGAGUUUUGAGAGGUGGAUGAACACUGGUCUGGCUGUGACAGGUGCUCCAUCUGGGGCUGCUGGGGAAGGGGCAAGGCUGCCCUCCCCAAGGGACCAUCUCAUCGUGACCCCCCCACGUGCUAACUUCUCUGAGCCCAGUUUCCUGAUGAGGCAUGGGGGCCACAGGACACAGGCCUGGAAGCAGUGAGAAGCAGUUUCAAGAGGGAGUGCAUCCAGGUGCAGAGAUCUGGGACCGAGAUCUCUUUCUUUGCCUCCCCCACUUCACCUGGGUACCCCUGUGAUGGUUACUAUUGAGUGUCAACUUGACUGGAUUGAAGGAUGCAAAGUAUUGUUCCUGGGUGUGUCUGUGAGGGUGUUGCCAAAGGAGAUUAACCUUUGAGUCAGUGGACUGGGAAAGGCAGACCCACCCCCAGUCUGGGUGGGCACAAUCUAAUCAGCUGCCAGAGUGGCCAGAAUAAAAGCAGGUAGAAGAACGUGGAAAUUCUAGACUGGUUUAGUCUUCCAGCCUACAUCUUUCUCCCGUACUGGAUGCUUCCUGCCCGCGAACAUCAGACUCCAAGUUCUUCAGCUUUGGGACUCUUGGACCUUCGACCACAGACUGAAGGCUGCACUGUUGGCUUCCCUACUUUUGGGGUUUUGGGAUUCGGACUGGCUUUCUUGCACCUCAGCUUGCAGAUGGCCUAUUGUAGGACCUCACCUUGUGAUCAUGUGAGUCAAUACUCCGUAAUAAACUCCCCUUCAUCUAUACAUCUAUCCUGUUAGCACUGUCCCUUUAGAGAAC